UUACCAACCCUUUAAA
rnacentral:tRNA from 1 species